UCCAGUGUGGUGCAGUGGUUUGAAUACUGGACUACAACUCUGGAGACCAGGGUUUGAAUCCCCGCUCAGAGA